rnacentral:rRNA from 1 species
CCCUUAGAUGUUCUGGACCGCACGCGCGCUACAAUGGUCUUCGCAAACGGAUGCAUUCUCGAAGGAGAAUGCCAAUCUUGGAAUCUAUGCCUUGGUCGGGACAGUUGCUUGCAAUUUUUCGACUCGAACCAGGAAUUCCUUGUAAUCGUGAUUCAUCACAUCACGAUGAAUACGUCCCUGCCCUUUGUACACACCGCCCGUCGCUCCUACCGAUCGAAGAGUUAGGUGAAUUGUUUUGAUCGAUAAGAUUUGACUAUGGUCAACUCUCGUUGUGAAAUUCUGUGAAUCUGACUGUUUAGAGGAAGGAAAAGUCGUAACA